CCUACGGGGGGCACCAGUAGGGAAUCUUCCGCAAUGGGCGAAAGCCUGACGGAGCGACGCCGCGUGAGCGAAGAAGGCCUUCGGGUCGUAAAGCUCUGUUGUGAGGGACGAAGGAGCGCCGUUCGAAGAGGGCGGCGCGGUGACGGUACCUCACGAGAAAGCCCCGGCUAACUACGUGCCAGCAGCCGCGGUAAUACGUAGGGGGCGAGCGUUGUCCGGAAUUAUUGGGCGUAAAGCGCGCGCAGGCGGUCUCUUAAGUCUGAUGUGAAAGCCCACGGCUCAACCGUGGAGGGUCAUUGGAAACUGGGGGACUUGAGGGCAGGAGAGGAGAGCGGAAUUCCACGUGCAGCGGUGAAAUGCGUAGAGAUGUGGAGGAACACCAGUGGCGAAGGCGGCUCUCUGGCCUGCACCUGACGCUGAGGCGCGAAGGCGUGGGGAGCAAACAGGAUUAGAUACCCUUGUAGUC
rnacentral:rRNA from 1 species